UAGAUUGGGGACCAGUCUAUUUAUUCCCCAGCCACCCUAUAACUAGAAUAUGCCCAUUUGGAUAAAGCAAUCUUGAUGUGUAUAUAUAACUCAGAACCUCCUUUAGUGGCCCUUAAUCUUUCUUUGCAGAACACUUGAGCAAUGGGGAAUUCUCUCUGUCUCUCCUUCUCCUCCAAGAACAACAAAGCAUUGCCCAUAGACACAAUUUUCAAGCUUCCCUCUCCAACACCUGCUUGGCCACCAGGUGGAGGAUUUGGAAGUGGAAUCAUUGAUCUAGGAGGCCUCCAAGUCUAUCAGACUUCAACUUUCAAAAAAGUUUGGGCUACCUAUGAAGGGGGACCAGAUGACCUUGGUGCAACAUUUUUUAAACCUCACCUGAUUCCAGAUGGAUUUUCCGUUCUCGGUUUCUACAGCCAACCCAACAACCUGCCACUUUUUGGGUAUGUUCUUGUUGGAAAAGACGUGGAAGAAAAAAAUGUCUCACCUACUCUAAAGAAGCCAAUUGACUACACUCUAGUUUGGAGUAGCUCAUCGCUGAAAAAAAUCAAGAAAACUGGCCAUGGCUACAUUUGGUUACCAAUGCCACCAGAUGGCUACGAAGCUGUUGGUCAUGUGGUCACCACCUCACCAGACAAGCCUUCCCUUGAAAAAAUCCGGUGUGUCCGUUCCGACCUAACUGAUCAACCCAAGACCAGUAACUGGAUUUGGGGGCCAGGGACCGAGAGCGAUUCAAAUGGUUUUAAUUUGUAUAGUUUUCAACCUAGCAAUAGGGGGACCAAAGAGCCUGGUGUAUCACUAGGUACAUUUUUUGCCCAAAAUAAUGCCUCAUCCACUUCUUCUACCUUAUCUCUAGCUUGUUUGAAGAACAAUAAAUUUGACUCAUCUUCUAUGCCUAAUCUUGACCAAAUCAAGGAAUUAUUUCAAGCUUAUUCUCCUUUGAUUUACCUUCACCCCAAGGAAACUUACCUCCCCUCUUCUGUGACUUGGUAUUUCAACAAUGGGGCUUUGCUAUAUAAGAAAGGGGAAGAGUCUAACCCUGUUCCCAUUGAUUCAAAUGGCUCCAACCUACCCCAAGGUGGUUCUAAUGAUGGUGCAUAUUGGCUAGACCUUCCAAUGGAUGAUAAUGCUAAAGAAAGAGUCAGAAAAGGGGAUUUACAGAGCUCUGAGGCUUAUUUACACGUAAAGCCCGUGUAUGGUGGCACCUACACCGAUAUAGCUAUAUGGAUUUUCUACCCUUUCAAUGGACCGUCGACUGCUAAACUCGAGCUACUGGACAUCCCACUAGGGAAAGUUGGCGAACAUGUUGGCGAUUGGGAGCAUUUGACACUAAGGAUAAGCAACUUCAAUGGGAUGUUGCACAAGAUGUACUUUUCACAACAUAGUGGAGGAAAAUGGGUUGAUGCUUCGUUGCUCGAGUUUUAUAAGGGCAACAAGCCAGUGGCCUAUUCCUCGUUGAACGGACAUGCAUUGUACGCGAAGCCAGGGCUUGUUUUGCAAGGAAGCGGUGGGAUCGGGAUAAGGAAUGACACGGAUAAGAGUGACAAGGUGAUGGACACGGGAGAAAGGUACUCAGUGGUUGCGGCCGAGUACUUGGGAUCAGAAAUCGUUGAGCCGCCGUGGCUGGACUAUGCUAGGGAAUGGGGUCCCAAGGUUACUUACGAACUUGGGGUCGAGGUCCAGAAGGUGGAGGGCUUAUUGACUGCAGGAAUGAAAUCAACAUUUGAGAGUUUGGUGAAAAUCUUGCCGAAUGAAGUGUAUGGAGAAGAAGGGCCUACUGGCCCAAAGAUGAAAAAGAACUGGUAUGGAGAUGAAGUUUCAAGCUAAGGGGCUAUUGUGAAUGAUUGAAUUUGGCGAGUCGAUGAUAGAGAAGAUGGCAAAAGCAGAAUAAGGUCUCACAUGUGUCCAGUUUGUCCAAUGAUCCUUUCAAUCUCUUCAAGAAGACGCUCCUUUUCUUCUGUCAACUCAUCGUUCAGCUUUUGAAGCUCCUCUAUCUGCUUGGUCUGUUCAGAAUCCUUUCUGGGAUUUUCAAAGACAGAAGAAAAUGUUCAACAAGAGCAGAAAGUUUCAGAUCAUUUUGAUGAGAGAUGGAUGCAUACAUAGAUUGGAACAAAUUUUCGUCAAUCUCCAUGCAAAACACACAUCUAGAGUACCGAUUCAUGAACGACAAGUUAAGUUUGAGUGACCGCACUUCCUUCUCAAGAUUAUCACACCGCUUCAAAAUGGACUGCAUAUCUGAGGGAAUUUGUGGUGUUAGAUUCCUUUCCUUUGCCUCUGCCAUUCUACAUCAACAAAAAAUUCAACAUAAGGUACGGUCUGUGCAAGCUUUUUCCCAGAAAUUGAAGAUAGUAUUACU